rnacentral:pre_miRNA from 14 species
GUUUUAUGUGUAUGGGUAUUUUGCCUGUAUGCACAGGUAUUGAAAGAUCCAAUGCAGAGAGACCCUUACUCAAGUCUCGGGAAAUCGAGGACCCCAGACACAGACAGAUCA